rnacentral:lncRNA from 1 species
UGACUUUGAAUCGUAUUUAAAAAAUUAAAAUAAGAAAAUGAAACAAAAAAUUUGGUUAUCCUAACAUCACUUUCGCCCCCGCAUCCUAAAAAAUCUCCGACGGGACAAAGAAAAGAUUCUAGUCAUGUCCUAUUUUCCCAUGCAAUUAGCUUAAGUACAGCUGUUGGAUCCUUAAUUGUGGUUUGAAUUAGAAAUCCAAGACUGAUGGAAGUUGGGAGUUGCUCUUAAUGCCAAAAUCUUGAUAUUGUGUAUUGAUAAGCAGUACCAGCUAGAUAUAAGCGUGCAUCUGCUGUUCCCUCUUCAGUAACUUCAUGUUGAUCUCCGGCUGAUUGACAAGUAUUGGAUUUUAUGUGCAAUAAUGAAAAUGUUAAAGAGAAAAAUCAACACGAAUAAUAUUUAUGUGGUUCGGAGAUGUGCCUACGUUAACGAGGAGUGAAGAGGUGAU